AGGCCCCAGGGAGAACUCCAAUGGUGUCUGUGUCAGCACGCCCACACCAGGCCACAACAAUGGCCGCCGGCAAUGUCCCAGUUCCUGGAGAGGUCUCACCUCUCACUAAGAUGCACUCAGAGCCUAUCAGAAUUUGGUUGAUCUUGCAGGCUGAGAAAGAGCUGAACAAACAGGUGCUGAAGGUGUGAAACUCAAGGAAGGCUGUAAUAUAAAUCGUAGCUUAUUUGUUUUGUGACAAGUGAUCAAGAAACUUAGUGAUGGACAAGAUGGUGCUUUCAUAAAUUAUCGAGACAGCAAAUUAACACGAAUUCUCCAGAAUUCCUUGGGAGGAAAUGCAAAAACAUGUAUUAUCUGCACAAUUACUCCAGUGUCUUUGAAUGAAACCCUGACUACUCUUCAAUUUUCCAGAACUGCUCAGUCUAUGAAGAAUACCCCUUAUGUUAAUGAGGUAUCAAAUGAUGAAGCUCUCCUGGAAAGAUAUAGAAAAGAAAUAAUUGAUCUUAAAAAACAGUUAGAGGAGGAGAAAAAAGAGCUGCGACAAAUGUUAGAGUGUGUUACCGCAGAAAAGGAGCA